rnacentral:rRNA from 1 species
UGUGACUGCGUACCUUUUGUAUAAUGGGUCAGCGACUUAUAUUCUGUAGCAAGGUUAACCGUAUAGGGGAGCCGUAGGGAAACCGAGUCUUAAUUGGGCGUUAAGUUGCAGGGUAUAGACCCGAAACCCGGUGAUCUAGCCAUGGGCAGGUUGAAGGUUGGGUAACACUAACUGGAGGACCGAACCGACUAAUGUUGAAAAAUUAGCGGAUGACCUGUGGCUGGGGGUGAAAGGCCAAUCAAACCGGGAGAUAGCUGGUUCUCCCCGAAAGCUAUUUAGGUAGCGCCUCGUGAAUUCAUCUCCGGGGGUAGAGCACUGUUUCGGCUAGGGGGCCAUCCCGGCUUACCAACCCGAUGCAAACUGCGAAUACCGGAGAAUGUUAUCACGGGAGACACACGGCGGGUGCUAACGUCCGUCGUGAAGAGGGAAACAACCCAGACCGCCAGCUAAGGUCCCAAAGUCAUGGUUAAGUGGGAAACGAUGUGGGAAGGCCCAGACAGCCAGGAUGUUGGCUUAGAAGCAGCCAUCAUUUAAAGAAAGCGUAAUAGCUCACUGGUCGAGUCGGCCUGCGCGGAAGAUGUAACGGGGCUAAACCAU